UUUCGAGCACCGCCGGGGACCUUACCUGGCCUUGAAUGCUGAGACUUUCAGAGAUGGAUUGGUGCCUUCGGAACUCAGACACAGGUGCUGCAUGGUGUCGUCAGGUCGUGUCGUGAGAUGUUGGGUUAAGUCCCGUAACGAGCGCAACCCUUGUCCUUAGUUACCAGCACCUCGGGUGGGCACUCUAAGGAGACUGCCGGUGACAAACCGGAGGAAGGUGGGGAUGACGUCAAGCCAUAAUGGCCCUUACGGCCCGGGCUACACACGUGCUACAAUGGUCGGUACAAAGGGUUACAAGCCGCGAGUGGAGCUAAUCCCAUAAAACCGAUCGUAGUCCGGAUCGCAGUCUGGAACUCGACUGCGUGAAGUCCGAAUCGCUAGUUAUCCUGAAUUAGAAUGUCACGGUGGAUACGUUCCCGGCCUUGUACACACCCGCCCUCACACCAUGGGAGUGGUUUUCUCCAAGAAGGAGCUAGCCUAACCGCAAGGGGGACGGUUUCCACGGGGUGUUUCAUGACUUGAGUGAAGUCUUAACAAGGUAACCGUU
rnacentral:rRNA from 1 species